CUCCGAGGGCUUGUGGGAGCCUCAGCUCAGGGGCGGGCAGGGGGCGUGGGGAAGUCUGCAGCCAAGAGUCCAGAGAGGAGGAAGCUCCUGCCGGCUGAGCGGGCCCUGGAGGAAGUGAGCAGCGGGGCUCCUGCCUCCCGGCCUGGUCCCCGAAGACCCCAGAAGAACCCGGAACUUGCUUCCAUUCGGAACCCAGGGACCACCCUUUGCGCCCAGUAGGCCUUUGUUUUCCUGCGUGGAAAGCGGUUGGGCUUGGGAGGCGAUGGAGCCGGAGUUCUUGUACGACCUGCUGCAGCUCCCCAAGGGGGUGGAGCCCCCAGCAGAGGAGGAGCUCUCAAAAGGAGGAAAGAAGAAAUACUUGCCACCCACUUCCCGGAAGGAUCCCAAAUUUGAAGAACUGCAGAAGGUGUUGAUGGAGUGGAUCAAUGCCACUCUUCUCCCCGAGCACAUUGUGGUCCGCAGCCUGGAGGAGGACAUGUUCGACGGGCUCAUCCUACACCACCUAUUCCAGAGGCUGGCGGCGCUCAAGCUGGAAGCAGAGGACAUCGCCCUGACAGCCACAAGCCAGAAGCACAAGCUCACAGUGGUGCUGGAGGCCGUGAACCGGAGUCUGCAGCUGGAGGAGUGGCAGGCCAAGUGGAGCGUGGAGAGCAUCUUCAACAAGGACCUGUUGUCCACCCUGCACCUCCUUGUGGCCCUGGCCAAGCGCUUCCAGCCCGACCUGCCCCUCCCAACCAACGUCCAGGUGGAGGUCAUCACUAUCGAGAGCACCAAAAGUGGUCUGAAGUCAGAGAAGUUGGUGGAACAGCUCACUGAAUACAGCACAGACAAGGACCAGCCUCCGAAGGACGUCUUUGAUGAAUUAUUUAAGCUGGCUCCGGAGAAAGUGAACGCAGUGAAAGAGGCCAUCGUGAACUUUGUCAACCAGAAGCUGGACCGCCUGGGCCUGUCUGUGCAGAAUCUGGACACCCAGUUUGCAGAUGGGGUCAUCUUACUCUUGCUGAUUGGACAACUUGAAGGCUUCUUUCUGCACUUAAAGGAAUUCUACCUCACUCCCAACUCUCCUGCAGAAAUGACCGGCAGGUCGGCUGAGUUUAGCUGCUAGAGCCUCAGCUAGGCUUUGUCACUCCUCCGAGGACUGGAUGGGGAUCAGGCUGUCGUGGCUGGGUGGCUCGGCUCUGUGCCACAGCCUGCCAUGUUCCUUCUGGGACCAGCAGCUGGCCCGGGCACGCUUUCCUCCUGGCAAUGGCAGACACAUGAGAGACCAGGCAGAAGGCAUGAGGCCCUGGCUCAGAAUGGGCAGGCUGCCACUUCCAUCGAAGCAGGCCCUGUGGCCUUGACAGUGACAUGGGACAGCCCUGCAAAGUGUGUGGGUGCAGAAUUGGGCCGAUGGUGGGAUCUCACACGGGCAGUGUGGACGAAUGUGCUAGCAAAUCCUCAUGUUGGGUCUUGGAGUUAGGAACUCUUCCCAUCCCCAUUUCCACAGAGGAAACAGUUGAGAGAGGCACAGAAGUCUGGCCCAGAGCACACAGUGAGUUAGGGUCCUCCCUGUUUCCCUCCUGUGGAGCCAGUGUGAAUCUCUGGGAGAUGGAGGCGUGGCAGGGCUCAGUGGGGUUGAAGCCAAGGCUGAGACUGGGGUCAGAGCCUGCCUCGGGAAGGCAAGGCACUGAAAUGUGAGCGGUGAGGAGAGAAGGCGGAGGAAGGGGGCAGGCAGGACCACCUGCGGGCUGAGGGCCUGGGGCUCGGAACCCAGCUCAGAGCCACUCUGGGGUGCCCCUGGGCUGCAGGGCCUCUGCUCAAUCUGUUGCACCAUCCAAGCCCCAGUUACAAGACGGGAACAAACGUGCAGACUUCCAUGUUGCUGUGUGCAGCCGCUUUGCUGAAUCCACUGAUUUUAGAACUUACUUCUGAAUAUGAGUCAGAUUAGAUGUGGGGGAAAAGCAGCAGCCUCUUAGCUCAGACUCCAAGAAUGAAUUUUUACAGCAUACUGUGGGCAAUCUCUGCUGCAGGAAUGUGUAAUCAAAAUGCUGAAGAGGUCGUCAGCUGAGGAGGGCGGGAACACCAGCCCUUGCUGAAGGUGGGCCUCUGCGGAAUUGUUAUCUUGGCAGAGUAGCCUCUUGAAAUUGGAUUUCUCAUUAUCAGACCCUCUUUGCUGAUGGUGUUUAUGUGAGGUAGUUAUUCGUUGUGGGCACGGAAGUUAAGGACGGAGGGAGAGAGGAUCAUUCGCUCCCAGAAAUAAAAUCCCCGGAGCCAGGAGUCCUUGGCGUCCUUCCACGCUAAAUUAUUCUCCCCAGGAGGAUUUGCACGUAUCCUCCCGGGUUGUAACCUUCUCUCAGCUCCGUGGAAGGUGGUAGUUUUAUCUUCAUCUCAAGCCACACGCGGAAGAAAAAUCUCUGGACAGAGGAUCGUGAGAUAGCUCUGGAGCCAGGGUCAGCUCUUCUGGGGGAUGAUCUUUUGUUCAGAUUGAGUGUCAUUGAGGAAGAGUGUGACAAACAGAAGCAGAUGUCAUAAUUUUCAGUGUCGAUAGCAAUUCCCAAAGCAUAAGCUCCAUGAGGGCAGGAGGUCUGGUCUGUUUUGGGCACUGGUUGUAUGGCUAGCACAUAGUAGAUGACAAGUAUUUUUUUAAAUAAGUGAAUGAACAAAGUGUUUCCAAAACAUUGGUCCCAGGAGGUGUUCUGUGACAAAUGGGUUCUAUGAAUAAAUAACUUGGGGAAACAUGUCCAGUCUUGAAGGUUCAUGAGACCCACUAACACAUUCAAGGCUCUAAUAAGUCCUGCAGUGAAGGACUUCCAUAGUAUUUUAUUUAAUCCAACAAUUUCUAAAAACGUUUGGCCACAGAUAUCCCUUUUCCUGUCCAUCUUAGAUCACAGUUUGGGAGAUGCUGGCUCACUGAAUGUAUCAAAGGCGGAGCUUUGAGGCAGGAGAGCACAGUGUGGAGUCUGGAACCUCAGGUUCCUCAGGGUCUUGUUCUCACUCCGACAUUUACUCUCCAUGUAACUGCAAAUAAUAUUCAUGAUGAGAAUGCGAACAAUAGCAACAAUUGCAACCCUAGUUUCCCAGAAUAUUCCAGUCUAGGAGGAAGAACUGGGGACACAGUGAUGGGAACUUCUGGUGAUGCUCUGGUCUGUCCACUCGGAGCUUCCCAUCCAUCUUGGUCUGGACAGUCUCAGAGUUUCACCCCGCAUUGGCCCCUGCAGCAUGCUGCAACAUUGGUGCCGUGUGAUAGCCUUUGUUUCACUCUUGUCACCCAGGAUGGAGUGCAAUGGUGCAAUCUUGGCUCACUGCAACCUCCGCCUCCUGGGUUCAAGCAAUUCUCCUGCCUCAGCCUCCCAAGUAGCUGGGAUUACAGGCACGUGCCACCACACCCAGCUAAUUUUUGUAUUUUUAGUAGAGACAGGGUUUCGCCAUGUUGGCCAGGCUGGUCUCGAACUCCUGACCUCAGGUGAUCUGCCCACUUUGGCCUCUCAAAGUGCUGGGAUUACAGGAAUGAGCCACCGUGCCUAGCCUGUUUCUUCUUGUUGGCUGACUACAGAGGAGCGGCCCUGCUGCUGCUGCUGGCCACCCUGCCCAUGCACUCCUUUCCAUCUGGGACCCGCCCCCUCCAUCUUCAUGUCCCCAAGUGGAGAAGGACUCUGUUCACCCACUUCCAGCUCCUGUGCCUUCAUCAUCCUCACCUUCAAAUCUUGCUUUGUGGCUUCAAUUCUGUGUCCGUCAUCACAUUGGACGCACAUGGCAGCCUUGGAGAGGAAGGCAGACAGGUGUAUCAUCCCCGUGACACAGAUGAGGCACCCGAGGCCCAGCCAGGAUGUAUGACUUGUCCGAGGUCAGACACUUAGUGGCAGGGGUGGGGGUGGCAGUGCACAGACAUCCAAGCUAGAUCCCAAGAGUCCUCUUGCUCGGGCCCUCCAGCAGGUGGCUGGAGGUGGCCUGGGCCAGGCUGGCGUUUCUGGAUGAGUCUUGCCUGGCCUUGCUCAUCCACCGCUCGGCCAACCUGGCCUCUUGGCCCCUGGCGGGUUGCCAUGGGAACUGCCCUGCCCUGGUGGGGCUGGUGUGGCCAGGCAGAUAGGGAGGGAACGGGACCAGCACAGCUGACCCCCGGGCUGGGAUGUCCACCCCCUCUAGUGGAUCUACGGGUGGCUAAGGCAUUGAAGGGAGGACCUGUUUGAGGUCACAGUGAACCAGGAGUUCAUCCCUCUUCACCCACACCAGGCUGCUGCCCUAAGGCAAAGGGCUGGGACCUACUCUGCUUGUAGAUGAGGCCCAAGGGAGAAGCUAGAAUGGAAAGGGAGGGGACCUACCGUGGGAGGGCCGGCAGGCUCCUGGGCUCUCACCAUAUCCUGUAGCAAGGCACAGGGGAACUGUGGUGAGCCCACUUUGCAGGGGAGCAAGGGGAGGCCCUGGGCAGGGACCAAGCUGAGCUCUGAAUCACUGGGGGACCUGACUGAUGCCCGGGCGCUCUCCACCCUAAAGGGAGCCAUCUCUGAGACUGCACCCCAGGCAAGGGGUGGCGGAAAGGACAGCCACCUGGGUGGGGACUGCUCCAGUCUCUAGCCUGCUUUGCAUGAGCAUUGGAGCGGACAGACCUGGUUUGAGCGCUUUCUGUCUCGUGAGCUCCAGGGAGCCCCUUGGCUCCUCUGAGCCUUGAUUUCCUCACUGUGCUUUGCCCUGGGAAACAGCUGUUCUCAAAGGGGCUCUGCCACCCCAGGCCCUUGCUCCUUUCCCUGUGUAGUUCUUCCUGCCUGGCGGGACUCACCACCAGGCUUCACCUCCACCAGGAAGCCUUCCCUGAUCCCUAUUGGAUGUCCUCCUUGGUGAUUGCCUUUUUCACGGGCAGUGGCCCCUGGACGCAAGCGUGUGCCCAGUGUGGUAUAGCACCUGCUCAGAGUGGGGCCUGUGAGUGGCUGAGGAAUGAGACAUGGAUUGCUUGUGUGACAGAGUGAGCUGUAGGGAGAUGCUGGAUGACCACGGAUUGUGGUCGUGGUCAGGGAUGCCCACCUUGGAUGGGAGUUUAGGCUCAUGAUGGACAUCACAGACAACAGGAAGGGCUUGGCACUUGGGACCCAGGGCCUGGCCUGGGGCUGCUGCUUGUGCCCACAUCUGAUAGGGCCUUGUCAUCAUAGCUGCACAACGUCACCCUGGCGCUGGAGCUGCUGAAGGACGAGGGCCUGCUCAGCUGCCCUGUCAGCCCUGAAGGAGCGUUCAGAGGAGGACUGGCCAGGAGGAGGAGGCAGUCACGCAGCAGGCGCGGGACCCAGGCCUGGAGUGACCAGCUGUCCUGGCUUCCAGGGAUUCUCCUGGGAUUAGCACUGAAAUCCUGAAUGCCAGGAAACCUUGACCACAUCGGGACAGUCGGUCACUGCCACCCAGGCCUGACUGGCUGCCGUGCCCUCCUUUGGCCCGCAGAUAUCGUGAACAAGGAUGCCAAGAGCACACUGCGGGUGCUCUAUGGCCUGUUCUGCAAGCACACGCAGAAGGCACACAGGGACAGGACGCCCCGUGGAGCCCCGAAUUGACCCUCACUGCCCCCAAAGCCCAGAGCCUGCCUGUCAGCCCAGCUGGAGGGCCCGAGGCUGCAGGGUGUCCUCCCACAGUCCCGCUGUUUCCUGUGCAUUCAUGACCCACUUCCCUCCCACCCUGUCUCCUGUCUCCAACAUUGGAUUAUCUUUGAA